UACAGAGGGUGCGAGCGUUGUUCGGAAUUAUUGGGCGUAAAGGGUGCGUAGGCGGUUUGGUAAGUCUUAUGUGAAAUCUACAGGCUCAACUUGUAGUCUGCAUGAGAAACUGCCGGGCUUGAGUAUGGGAGAGGUGAGUGGGAUUCCUGGUGUAGCGGUGAAAUGCGUAGAUAUCAGGAGGAACACCUGUGGCGAAAGCGGCUCACUGGACCAUAACUGACGCUGAUGCACGAAAGCUAGGGGAGCAAACAGG
rnacentral:rRNA from 1 species